GAAUGACCAAGAUAGUCAACUUAUAAAGGGAAAAGGUUUAUUUUGGCUCAUAGUUUUGGAGAUUUAAGUCCAUGAUUAGUUGGCUCUAUUUCUUUGGGCCUCUGACAAGGCAGCAUACCAUGAUGGAAACAUGUGGCAGAGCAAAGACACUUAUACCACAAGUCACAGAACAAGAAAAGGAAAGGGCUGAGUCUGCCACAGGACCAGCACGCGAGCUUCAUAAAAGAGGUUCGAAGCAUAUGAAUUAACUAGUGAGUUCUAAAAUUAAAGAGACAUACUCUAUUUACCUUUUAAUGCCCAGCUCCAGAGACGGCUUCUCCUAGCUCCCGCCUCCAGCCACCUAAUGCAGUGGCGAGGUUUACCCAAGAGGCUAGCGAAAGAGAGAAAACACGCCAGGGAGUGAGCUUUUAUUGGGGAACAAAAAAAUCAAGGGAAAAUUCCAUCCAAUGAAGGUCGGAGGUGCCGCAUCCGGC
rnacentral:lncRNA from 1 species